AUGGCCUCGGAGCAGAAGGCCGCCAAUAGGGUUUCAAUCAAUCGGCCGGCCCUGCCGCCCAAGCUCAACGCCGGCGCGGACCGGAUCAGCGGUCUCCCCGACCACCUCCUCCUCGAGAUCCUCGAGCGCCUCGACCUGCGGGAGGCGGUCCGCGCCGGGGUGCUCUCGACGCGGUGGCGGCACCUCCCCAAGCACCUCUCACGAGUGGACCUCGACGUUGCUCACUUUCAGGGCGCGACGCCGCUCGAGGCCACGGACGCGUUCACGGGCGCGGUCCGGUCGUUGCUCGCCGGGGUUCCCCUCGCCGAGAGUGGCGCCCUCAAGUCCCUCGUCCUCGGCUUCUACAUGCCUUCCUCUCCUCACCUGAACACCAUAGGCCGCCUCGUCCAGGACGUCGUGAGCUUGGGCCAGACCGAAUGCCUUGAGUUUCGCACGUCCCUGCCGCCCCCCGAGCCGCUGCUCGAUGAGAUUGCGCGGCAGUUCAUGUCCUUCUGCCGCGCCUACCAGGUCGCCUUCUCUUGGCUCACGAGUCUUGCACUCGAGCGCCUUGUAUUUGACCAUUCUGACAUCACCGAGCUCAUCAGCGCUUGCGGUAGGCUCAGGCACCUCAGCAUGUGUGCCUUCAGACUGGUUGAUCCGCACUCCGUGCUCAAGAUCGACGUGCCGCACUCUGGAAUCCAGGAGCUCGAAUUCAGCUUCGUUGGGUGCAUGCUGAUCGAGCUCAUUUCUGUCCCUAAACUUAGGAAAGUGUGGUGCCAUUAUUGGUUCUCCCAGAACCCUCCAUUGAGCUUCGGCUAUGUUCCUGAGCUUCGCUUUGUAAGACUCUCUUCUAGAGCCCGGGCAUGGCAGGAGCCAUUCGCGCUGAGCGAGUGCCUGUCAAGGAGUGCCAGCAACCUGUCGAUACUUGCUCUCAAUUUCAGCUGCCAAAUGGUACGACAAUUAAUUUCUGUGCACCUUAAAUAUCUUCUGCAUUUACAUACCAUAUGUUCUUCUCUACCAAUUUCAGCUGUGUAUAUAUUCUUGCUAUAGAUUUGGAUUCUGCCAGAACAUCCGAAGAAGCUCACUGCUAUGUUCAGAAACCUGACCUCUGUGUUUCUUUGGGAUAUCUUCAAUGAGUGUGAUCUGAACUGGACACUGUUUAUCCUUGAAGCCGCACCUUGCCUACAGUGUAUUGAUUUAUCUCGACAUUCAUGCAUCGAGACGCCCGACAACAGUGCCGAGAAGACCAACGUGAUGUGGGAGCCAUCCAAGGAUUUCAAGCACCUAAACUUGAAGUUGCUGGGGAUCCAAGGGUGCGAGGAUGAAGACAAGGUGACAAACUAUGUAAGGCUUGUGAUGGAACGAGCUGUGCGGCCGUUGAUAAUCAAGCUGCAGGAUGAAUUCCCAUGCAGGGACUGCAAUGCCACCAACCUUGACAGAUCCAAGGCGGACAAAGCUAGCAGGCGCCGGAUUAAGGAGCGACUCGCGCAUGAAUCAUCCUCAUGUGUGGAGAUAAUUAUCUGA
rnacentral:rRNA from 1 species